rnacentral:rRNA from 1 species
UACGAAGGGGGCUAGCGUUGCUCGGAAUCACUGGGCGUAAAGCGCACAUAGGCGGGUUCUUAAGUCAGGGGUGAAAUCCUGGGAGCUCAACUCCAGAACUGCCUUUGAUACUGGGAAUCUCGAGUCCGGGAGAGGUGAGUGGAACUGCGAGUGUAGAGGUGAAAUUCGUAGAUAUUCGCAAGAACACCAGUGGCGAAGGCGGCUCACUGGCCCGGUACUGACGCUGAGGUGCGAAAGCGUGGGGAGCAAACAGGG